rnacentral:rRNA from 1 species
GACGACCGCUGGCGGCGUGCCUAAUACAUGCAAGUCGAACGCAGUGGGGACGGGUGAGUAACACGUGGGUAACCUCCCAUCAGAGGGGAUAAACCUUGGAAACAGGUGCUAAACCGCUACUGAUGUAUGGACCCGCGGUGCGUUAGCUAGUUGGUGAGGGAACGGCUCACCAAGGCCACGAUGCAUAGCGUACGUGCGAGUGUGAUCUGCCACACUGUGACUGAGACACGGCCCAGAAUCCUACGGGAGGCAGCAGGAGGGAAUCUUCGGCAAUGGACGAAAGGCUGACCGAGCAACGCCGCGUGAGUGAAGAAGGUUUUCGGAUCGUAAAACUCUGUUGUUAGAGAAGCGGGAGCUAACCAGAAAGCCACGGCUAACUACGUGCCAGCAGCCGCGGUAAUG